UUUUAUGGAAAAAAAUGAGAAAGUUGG
rnacentral:piRNA from 1 species